CAGGGAUUAACAAAGAUGGGCGAUCCUGAGUCAAAUCCUGUUUCCCAAAACAAACAAAGGUUCAAAAAACAAAACAAGAAAGGAUAAACAUUUAUAGUGGUAGCAACAAGUAACAACGGGCUUGCUUGGCUGCGAUUAAACUUGUUGCUGUUUGCUUGGCUUGUAAGUCCGUGAAACUGAAACUUUGGCUUGACAUUGGGGAGUAAGGCAGUAAUAGAUUAAGGUUUUCUUAUUUAUUUACAUGUAUUGGUUUCUUUCCUAGUUAGGUGACACUAUAUUAUAUACGUGUAACUUUUAGCUUUAUGAAUUAAAAUACUACAUAGGCACGCCAAAGAUACCAGCUA